rnacentral:sRNA from 1 species
GUGUCCGCGGCUGCUGUCAGACAGUGUAGAACCUGCGGCCUCGAUGUCCUUCUCCCGUGCCCUAUUGUGGGCUCGGCUCCCGGCGGGGCGCCAGGCUGGCCACCGGGCAGCCAUCUGCUCUGCCCUUCGUCCCCACUUUGGGCCCUUUCCCGGGGUUCUGGGGCAAGUUUCUGUCCUUGCCACCGCCUCCUCCUCUGCCUCCGGUGGCUCCAAAAUACCAAACACGUCCUUGUUCGUGCCCCUGACUGUGAAACCUCAGGGCCCCAGCGCCGACGGCGACGUCGGGGCCGAGCUAACCCGGCCUCUGGACAAGAAUGAAGUAAAGAAGGUCUUAGACAAAUUUUACAAGAGGAAAGAAAUUCAGAAACUGGGUGCUGAUUAUGGACUUGAUGCUCGUCUCUUCCACCAAGCUUUCAUAAGCUUUAGAAAUUAUAUUAUGCAGUCUCAUUCCCUGGAUGUGGACAUUCACAUUGUUUUGAAUGAUAUUUGCUUCGGUGCAGCUCAUGCGGAUGAUUUAUUCCCAUUUUUCUUGAGACAUGCCAAACAAAUAUUUCCUGUGUUGGACUGUACGGAUGAUCUACGUAAAAUCAGUGACUUAAGAAUACCACCUAACUGGUACCCAGAUGCUAGAGCCAUGCAGCGGAAGAUAAUAUUUCAUUCAGGCCCCACAAACAGUGGAAAGACUUAUCACGCAAUCCAGAAAUACUUCUCAGCAAAGUCUGGAGUGUAUUGUGGCCCUCUAAAAUUACUGGCACAUGAGAUCUUCGAAAAGAGUAAUGCUGCUGGUGUGCCAUGUGACUUGGUGACAGGUGAAGAGCGUGUGACAGUUCAGCCAAAUGGGAAACAGGCUUCACAUGUUUCUUGUACAGUUGAGAUGUGCAGUGUUACAACUCCUUGUAUGUAUAUGCUGUUUAAGAAACUAUGGUUUGAUAUUUUUAAUUUUUUUUUUUUCAAGGCAGAGUCUUGCUCUGUUGUCCAGGCUGGAGUGCAAUGGUACUAUCUCGGCUCACUGCAACCUCUGCCUCCCCAGUUCAAGCAAUUCUCCUGCCUCAGCCUCCCAAGUAGCCGGGAUUACAGGUGCCCGCCACCACACCUGGCUAAUUUUUGUAUUUUUACUAGAGACGGGGUUUCUCCAUGUUGGUCAGGCUGGUCUCAAACUCCCGACCUCAGGUGAUCUGCCCACCUCGGCCUCCCAAAGUACUGGGAUUACAGGCAUGAGCCACUGCGCCUGACCAUGGUAUUUUUAAUUUUAAAAUACACUUGAACAUGUGAAAUACGAUUUUUUUGUGUGAAGAAAAAAUUUUAAAAUCUAGAAAAAGAAGAGAAUAAGUAUGACAAACGUGCGAUCCUGCCACCACUGACAAAUGCCUGCACCUGAAGUUCUUUCCCUUUUUCUCUUAAAAGAGCUGAAAUGUUAAUAAGCAUAAUUGAAAUUUCCUUUGUACCACUCUCCAGUUUAAUUCCUCUCUCCUCUUUUGUUCUAACUAGUAACAGAUAUUUGGUGUGUAUAGUUUUCCUGUCUCUUUUCAGGAUAUAUAUUAUAUCACUGAUACGUAUUACCAGUAUUCUAGAUUGUUGUGUUUUAAAACAUUUAUGUGAUUAUUAUAUUAUUAUUGUUCUACCACUUGCUUGUUUACUCCACAAAUGUGUUUAGAUCUAUCUAGUCUUAUUGAAGUAUCUAUAGCUACAUAUUUGUAGUUAUUUCAUUUAAACUGUUUAUAGUAUUCCAUCUUAGAACUGAAAUUAUUUGUUCCCCAUUUGUUAAAGGAUAUUUAGGUUGUUUAAAGUUUUUUCCUGUUAUGUACACUGCCACAAUGAGCUUCUAUUUAAAGUUGUUUUGUUUUGUUUUUGAGUCAGGGGCUCACUGUGUCACCCAGGCUGAAGUGCAAUGGCGCAGUCAUGGCUUACUGCAGCCUCGACCUCCUGGGCUCAAGCAAUCCUUCUGCCUUAGCCUCCUGAGUAGCUACAACUACAGGUGUGAGCCACCACACCCAGCUAAUUUUUUAUUAAUAAAUUUUUUGUGGAGAUGGGUUCUUGCUGUGUUGCCCAGACUGGUCUCUAACUCCUGGCCUUGUGUGGUCCUCCCACCUAGGUCUCCCAAAGCAGUGGGAUUACAGGUAUAACCCACUGCACCUGGCCUUAACAUUUAAGUGAAAAUUAACUUUUUCCUUAUUAUGUAAGCAAUCAUAUCUUUAUUAUUGAAAAUAUAAAAAUGUAAGCAAGCAAACAGAAGAAAACAAACGUACAUAAUUUCCCAGUCACACCUAUCCGGAAUCAAUAGGUGUUAAUUAACCCUAUAUAUUUUCCAGACUUUGUUAAUAUUUGUGUUCAUGUUGUGUAUGCAUAUAGUUAUAUGUGCAUGGUGGGUGUGUAUAUUAAACAAAUAGGAA